rnacentral:rRNA from 1 species
AUUGACCGCUGGCAGCAGGCCUAACAAAUGCAAGUCGCACGAGUGGCGGACGGGUGAGUAAUGUCUGGGAAACUGCCUGAUGGAGGGGGAUAACUACUGGAAACGGUAGCUAAUACCGCAUACCAUCGGAUGUGCCCAGAUGGGAUUAGCUAGUAGGUGGGGUAACGGCUCACCUAGGCGACGAUCCCUAGCUGUUCUGAGAGUAUGACCAUCCACACUUGAACGUAGACACGGUCCAGACUCCUACGGGAGGCAGCAGUGGGGAAUAUUGCACAAUGGGCGCAAGCCUGAUGCAGCCAUGCCGCGUGUAUGAAGAAGGCCUUCUGGUUGUAAAGUACUUUCAGCGGGGAGGAUUUGCCCGCAGAAGAAGCACCGGCUAAAUCCGUGCCAGCAGCCGCGGUAAUAC